GUCAGAGUUUGAUCCUGGCUCAGAUUGAACGCUGGCGGCAUACUUUACACAUGCAAGUCGAACGGUAACAGGUUAAGCUGACGAGUGGCGAACGGGUGAGUAAUGCAUCGGAACGUGCCCGAUCGUGGGGGAUAACGCAGCGAAAGCUGCGCUAAUACCGCAUACGAUCUGAGGAUGGAAAGCGGGGGACCGUAAGGCCUCGCGCGAUCGGAGCGGCCGAUGUCAGUAUUAGGUAGUUGGUGGGUAAAGGCUCACC
rnacentral:rRNA from 1 species